CAAGGAGGUUCUUCGAUCUCAGGUAAUUCUGAUGUUUAUGCUUUCCAUAAAUUUUGCAAAAUAUUAUGCUAAUCUCCAUCAAUUUAAUGCUAUUUCUUAGAAAACUCUAUACUAGUUCAUUAGGUUUCUUGGUUAAUUUUCUUAAAAGCUGAAUACUUUUCCUGUUUACAAAAUUUUAAUCCAAUCCAAACAAUAAUCUAAGAAAAUUAACCAAGAUAUAUAUAGAUAUAUAUAUAUUUUUUUCCCUAAUCAAUGUGACUUGAGUUGAUUGUACUUCAAAAUGUGUGUUUCUUACGGUGAUGCUCUCUCAUAAUUUUUGUUGUCAACAUGAUUUGCUUUCAAGGAGCACUUUAAAACAUCUAGGGGGGAAGACAAUGCAGAAAUCUGACUUGGACUUGUUAUAGGCUUCCCACUUAUCUUUACUCAUAUUUUCUUUUUCUCUUGCAAUCUGAUGGAGGUUUCAAUCGGAAGUGUGUUUUUAGUGGAUGUUGACAAGGGUAGUGCACUAGAGAUUGAAUAGUUCAGACAAAUAAUUCUUGAGGAACUAACUUCUUUAAAAUUGAUAUCUAAUGUAAGUGGAAAUCAGGUCAAGGAAGCUGGAGCAUCUCAGUGUUCAUUGAAGUGGAAGGAGUAUUUAGACCAGUUUGAUGUUGGUCAUUGUUCUGAUUCAAAUAUAUUUGCAGUUUGGGAAAGUUAUAGUCAGAAUUCAGAGCACCAUAUUUUACAUUAAUUAUUUUUAUUUCUCAGAACAAAAUCG
rnacentral:misc_RNA from 1 species